GGCUGGUCCGAGUGCAGUGGUGUUUACAACUAAUUGAUCAUGACCAGUUAAAAAUUCCUUUGUUUCUUCUCCACCCCCACUGUUUCACUUGACUAGUCCAAA
ensembl:misc_RNA Y_RNA Y RNA